rnacentral:rRNA from 1 species
UGGGGAAUUUUGGACAAUGGGCGAAAGCCUGAUCCAGCAAUGCCGCGUGUGUGAAGAAGGCCUUCGGGUUGUAAAGCACUUUUGUCCGGAAAGAAAACGCCGUGGUUAAUACCCGUGGCGGAUGACGGUACCGGAAGAAUAAGCACCGGCUAACUACGUGCCAGCAGCCGCGGUAAUACGUAGGGUGCAAGCGUUAAUCGGAAUUACUGGGCGUAAAGCGUGCGCAGGCGGUCCGCUAAGACAGAUGUGAAAUCCCCGGGCUUAACCUGGGAACUGCAUUUGUGACUGGCGGGCUAGAGUAUGGCAGAGGGGGGUAGAAUUCCACGUGUAGCAGUGAAAUGCGGAGAGAUGUGGAGGAAUACGGAUGGCGAAGGCAGCCCCCUGGGCCAAUACUGACGCUCAUGCACGAAAGCGUGGGGAGCAAACAGG